rnacentral:rRNA from 1 species
AACGAACGCUGGCGGCAGGCCUAACACAUGCAAGUCGAACGCACCGCAAGGUGAGUGGCGCACGGGUGAGUAACACGUGGGAAUGUACCCUUUGGUUCGGAAUAACGUUUGGAAACGAACGCUAAUACCGGAUGAGCCCUGCGGGGGAAAGGUUUAUCGCCAAAGGAGCAGCCCGCGCCUGAUUAGCUAGUUGGUGGGGUAAAGGCCUACCAAGGCGACGAUCAGUAGCUGGUCUGAGAGGAUGAUCAGCCACACUGGGACUGAGACACGGCCCAGACUCCUACGGGAGGCAGCAGUGGGGAAUAUUGGACAAUGGGCGGAAGCCUGAUCCAGCCAUGCCGCGUGAGUGAUGAAGGCCUUCGGGUUGUAAAGCUCUUUCGCACGCGACGAUGAUGACGGUAGCGUGAGAAGAAGCCCCGGCUAACUUCGUGCCAGCAGCCGCGGUAAUAC